rnacentral:rRNA from 1 species
UGCGCAGGCGGGAAAUUAAGUCAGUGGUGAAAGCCCCGAGCUCAACUUGGGAACUGCCAUUGAUACUGAUUUUCUUGAAUAUAGUUGAGGUAGGCGGAAUACAACAUGUAGCGGUGAAAUGCAUAGAUAUGUUGUAGAACACCAAUUGCGAAGGCAGCUUACUAAACUAUUAUUGACGCUGAGGCACGAAAGCGUGGGGAGCGAACA